GUCAUCUCCAUGGCCCUUUUCCCUUUUUUUUUAAUUGAAUUAAAUUCAAAUCCCCCUCCGCCUCUGUACAAAAGAAUUCAAAAACUUUAGCAUUCAAAUUUUCGAAUCUCCUUCCCUCUCUCUGCGUCCCUUUCCUAAACCCUAGCCAAUACGGCUUCGCAUCGCUCUCCUCUUUCCCAAUCAAUCUCAACAUGACAACUGUCCUCCCGCCGCCGGGCUCUGGCCGUGAGCUCUCCAGCCCACCUUCUGAUGGAAUAUCGAACCUCCGCUUCUCUAAUCACAGCGACCACCUUCUCGUCUCCUCCUGGGACAAGAGUGUGAGAUUGUACGAUGCGAGCGCUAAUGCGUUGCGAGGAGAGUUUAUGCACGGGGGGCCAGUGCUUGAUUGCUGCUUCCAUGAUGACUCCUCUGGGUUCAGCGCUGGCGCUGAUAAUACUGUGCGACGGCUAGUUUUUAGCUAUGGCAAGGAGGAUAUUUUGGGAAGGCAUGAUGCACCUGUUCGUUGUAUUGAGUAUUCUUAUGCAGCAGGACAAGUCAUCACUGGUAGUUGGGACAAAACACUGAAAUGUUGGGAUCCCAGAGGUGCAAGUGGACAGGAGCGCACUCUUGUUGGCACAUAUCCACAACCUGAGCGAGUUUACUCUUUAUCUCUUGUUGGAAAUCGUUUAGUUGUAGCUACUGCAGGAAGACAUGUAAAUAUUUAUGAUUUGCGAAAUAUGUCUCAACCUGAGCAACGAAGGGAAUCUUCACUGAAAUAUCAAACUCGAUGUGUGCGCUGUUAUCCCAAUGGUACAGGAUAUGCUCUUAGUUCAGUUGAAGGGAGGGUUGCAAUGGAGUUUUUUGAUCUUUCAGAGGCUAGUCAAGCAAAAAAAUAUGCAUUCAAAUGUCAUCGAAAAUCAGAGGCUGGAAGGGACAUUGUCUAUCCAGUAAAUGCUAUCGCAUUUCACCCUGUUUAUGGUACAUUUGCAACUGGAGGUUGUGAUGGAUUUGUUAAUGUGUGGGAUGGGAACAAUAAAAAGAGGCUUUAUCAGUACUCGAAGUAUCCAUCGAGCAUUGCAGCGCUCUCAUUUAGUAGGGACGGUCGUCUGUUGGCUGUGGCAUCGAGCUACACAUUUGAAGAGGGAGACAAACUGCAUGAACCAGACGCUAUAUUUGUGCGCAGUGUAAAUGAAAUUGAAGUCAAGCCAAAACCAAAAGUGUUACCUAACCCUCCAGCAUAGCUGAAAUUCCAGAAGACCUGUUCUGUGGUAUUCUCAAAUAUACAUGGUCUUUAGUGAUUUUCUGUGGGCUUCAUUUCUCUUUUAUGAAGCUGUCUAAACAUUAUGUGAAAACUGAUUUUGAAUUAAGCUAGAAUUAUUCUCGUUAUUUUUCAUGUCCUCUUUAGCCCUUUAAUAUUUGAAGCACUCAUUAUAGAUAUAUGGUAAAAGCUUGAAAUAUGUUGGAUUCUGUAUACUGGAUUUCUACAUCUUUCUAUAUAUGCAGAUGUUUGCUAGCAGAGCACUGGCCAGGCUACUCUCUAAUAGUAAAAAUAUUAUUAUUAUUUUUUUAAAUUAACUUUGGGAUUCAUUUUAGGCUAUAAGCCUUGAAACUGCCUAAGCUGUAUUAAAGUCGAUCAAACUAUGUUUUUAG
rnacentral:misc_RNA from 1 species